rnacentral:misc_RNA from 1 species
GAUGAAGAACGUAGCGAAAUGCGAUACUUGGUGUGAAUUGCAGAAUCCCGUGAACCAUCGAGUCUUUGAACGCAAGUUGCGCCUCAAGCCAUUAGGUUGAGGGCACGUCUGCCUGGGCGUCACAUAUCGUUGCCUGAUGCCAGUUUCCUCGUGAUGGGUGACUGUGCAGGGCGAAUGAUGGCUUCCCGUGAGCAUUGUUGCCUCAUGGUUGGUUGAAAAUUGAGUCCUUGGUAGGGAGCGCCGUGAUAGAUGGUGGUUGAGUGACGAACGAGACCCAAUCAUGUGAGACCCCUACCGAAUUUGGCCUUCAUGACCCACAUGCGUCUUUGGAACGCUCAUGACGAGACCUCAGGUCAGGCGGGGCUACCCGCUGAGUUUAAGCAUAUUAAUAAGCGGAGGA